CAGAAUUCAAAGAAACAAAGGAUGACGGCUUCUAACAGAAAUAACCAUACAAGCUUCAAUGAAGAGACAGGGACUGAAAUAAGCCUUAGGAUGAAGAACAAUUUAGGAGGUGAACAGGCAGAGAAGGAUACAAAUCUUCAGAAAGGUGAAGUAACUUUCCAAGAUUGGUGGUGGAUCUGGGAAUAGAAACUAUGUGUACCUAACUCCAGAGCCCAUGUCAUGACCACUACCACUGACAGAGAACUGAACACAAAACUAUGCUCGUGAUAUUAUAAAAGUGAGAGAAAAAAGCAUAACUGACUCCAUCUUGCCUUUAUAUUCACAAGCUAACUGCCUUUGCUUAUUUCUGUAUGUAGGACAGCCUAACUGUGGGAGGAAUUUAGUUUAUAGUUUAACCUACCCUUCCUUAUUCAGGAACAGAAACUACCUUUGAAAAAUGGAUGAAUGUCACAAGGUUAGAAUUAUCAGAGUGGCCUGAAUUCUGCUAAGAUGUAGGCAUAGUUAAACAGUAAGCAGUCAUCAUUCCCUACCUUGCUUGCUUUUUAAAAUAAUUGUUUAUUGCUCAGGAGUCAGUCAGCUGAUAGUCACAAUAUUUGUAAUUUCUCCAUUUGCUCCUAUAGAUAACAUCACUAUUGUGAAACUUAAGACUGGUGUUUGAGCCGCAUGUUCUCACUCAUGGGUUGGAAUUGAACAACGAGAACACCUGGACACAUGAAGGAGAGCAUCACAC
rnacentral:lncRNA from 1 species